rnacentral:rRNA from 1 species
AUUGUACGCUGGCGGAAUGCUUUACACAUGCAAGUCGAACGGCAGCACGGACUUCGGUCUGGUGGCGAGUGGCGAACGGGUGAGUAAUACAUCGGAACGUGCCCAGUCGUGGGGGAUAACGUAGCGAAAGUUACGGUAAUACCGCAUACGAUCUCUGGAUGAAAGCGGGGGACCGCAAGGCCUCGCGCGAUUGGAGCGGCCGAUGUCAGAUUAGGUAGUUGGUGGGGUAAAGGCCUACCAAGCCGACGAUCUGUAGCUGGUCUGAGAGGACGACCAGCCACACUGGGACUGAGACACGGCCCAGACUCCUACGGGAGGCAGCAGUGGGGAAUUUUGGACAAUGGGCGCAAGCCUGAUCCAGCCAUUCCGCGUGCAGGAUGAAGGCCCUCGGGUUGUAAACUGCUUUUGUACGGAACGAAACGGCGACCUCUAAUACAGGUUGCUAAUGACGGUACUGUAAGAAUAAGCACCGGCUAACUACGUGCCAGCCGCCGCCGUAA